CCUACGGGAUGCAGCAGUGGGGAAUAUUGGGCAAUGGGCGCAAGCCUGAACCAGCAACGCCGCGUGAAGGAAGAAGGCUUUCGGGUUGUAAACUUCUUUUGACAGGGAAGAGCAGAAGACGGUACCUGGCGAAUAAGCCACGGCUAACUACGUGCCAGCAGCCGCGGUAAUACGUAGGUGGCAAGCGUUUGCCGGAUUUACUGGGGGUAAAGGGCGUGUAGCCGGGCUGACAAGUCAGAUGUGAAAUCCGGGGGCUCAACCCCCGAACUGCAUUUGAAACUGUUGGUCUUGAGUAUCGGAGAGGCAGGCGGAAUUCCUAGUGUAGCGGUGAAAUGCGUAGAUAUUAGGAGGAACACCAGUGGCGAAGGCGGCCUGCUGGACGACAACUGACGGUGAGGCGCGAAAGCGUGGGGAGCAAACAGGAUUAGAUACCCCUGUAGUC
rnacentral:rRNA from 1 species